UUGUGUGUUUGUGAAAUUCGAAUUCUUGCUUUGUCGAAAUAACGCGACGGUGCCGGUUGACGUAAUCGAUCCCCGUUGUCGAGAUCUUUAGAGCUUGGUGUGAGCCGUGUGUCAAUCGAUAGGAAGUCGGAGAAAAGCGAAAAACGUCGCGAGAUCGCGUUAAAGUUGAGCGAGAAAAACUCGAUGGGUAUUGCGCGCAAAAUCGCAACAGUGAGGCGCGUCUUGGCGACGAUUUAAGUGUCGCGAUAACGUAAGCUGGAAGUGCUCGCCUUGAAAGUUGAACGUUAAAUGUGUCGAAAUGGUGCCGUUCGCGAGUGACUGGCAGCGGAGGAAGUGGACUGAAAAAAAUAAUUUCUUCGUAGCAAAUGGAAUUGUGUGCAGUGUCAUGAUGGCUUUUCGUAUACAACUAUAGAGUCCAGAGAAUUCUUGUAUCCUGUAUACGACGUAAAAUACCUGAGAGAGUACAGGACCUGUCAAGUUUACACGGAUUAUCAGCUUCCGACUGGUAACGACGGAUUUAUGCGAAUAAUACUCUCACAAA